GCCUCCCUCCGCGCCAUCAGACUCCUACGGAGGCAGCAGUGGGGAAUUUUGGCGUCAAUGGGGGAAACCCUGACGCAGCAACGCCGCGUGGAGGAUGAAAUCCUUGGGACUGUAAACUCCUUUCGAUCGGGACGAGUUAUGACGGUACCGGAAGAAGAAGCCCGGCUAACCUUCGUGCCAGCCGCCGCGGUAUAC
rnacentral:rRNA from 1 species